CAGUCGCCGCGGUAAUACGUAGGGGGCAAGCGUUGUCCGGAAUCAUUGGGCGUAAAGCGCGUGUAGGCGGCUCGAUAAGUCUGCUGUGAAAGUCCAGGGCUCAACCCUGGAAUGCCGGUGGAAACUGUCGAGCUCGAGUCCGGAAGAGGCAAGUGGAAUUCCUGGUGUAGCGGUGAAAUGCGCAGAUAUCAGGAGGAACACCAAUGGCGAAGGCAGCUUGCUGGGACGGUACUGACGCUGAGACGCGAAAGCGUGGGGAGCAAACAGGAUUAGAUACCCGAGUAGUCCCUGUCUCUUAUAC
rnacentral:rRNA from 1 species